AGAAGCACCCUGACCCUCCAAGUUGGGAGUUUCGAGGACCCCCUGAACUUAGAGCUCCUGGGCCGUCUUUCCCUGAGAAUGAAGCCAACACAGGCAGGAUUGAGCUUAGAGUCUGAAUUAGAUGGUGCCUAGUGACCGCCUCUGAACUCCUGGACCCAGCUACACCUGAAGCCACUCUACCCCACAUUUUCUAGGACUUUCCUGUAUGACUGCAUGGCUAAUAGCACUUCUCCUCGACACCGGUGCUGUUCUCGGAAUCCUAUCUAGAGCUUACAGCUUUCCCAGCCUCCUGGCUGCCUCCCCAUUUCCUCCCACACUGGUGAUCCCCCGAUGAAAUCCUCCUGCCCUUCAUCCUGUCUUGGCGUCUGCCUCGCGAUGACCCUGGGCUCACAGUCUGGCCACUGCAGCUGAGUGUCGCACUGGCUCAGGUGUGGCAACACGGGGGUUGAAAGGCUCUGAACCAGGCACCAGGAGCCCUGCGCCCCAGGCCAGCCCUCCGCAAACCAGCUUUGUGUCCUCGGACAACUCCAGGCCCAUCCUGGGUCUUGCUGUCUGGAGAGAGGAGGAAGCCGGCCACACUCUCCAAGAACAUUCAGCCUCCGCACUGCAUGGCCUCUGCUUGGUUUCUGGCUGGGCCCAGGGCUCUGCUUGCAGUGUGGAGCCGCAGUGGUGGGUCCCCAUGCGAGCCCCCGCCACUGUCUGCUGUCAU
rnacentral:lncRNA from 1 species